rnacentral:rRNA from 1 species
AUCGAUGAAGAACGCAGCGAAAUGCGAUAAGUAAUGUGAAUUGCAGAAUUCAGUGAAUCAUCGAAUCUUUGAACGCACAUUGCGCCCCUUGGUAUUCCGGGGGGCAUGCCUGUUCGAGCGUCAUUAUAACCCCUCAAGCUCAGCUUGGUGUUGGGGCCUGCCAACUGGCAGCCCUUAAAAUCAGUGGCGGCGCCAUCUGGCUCUAAGCGUAGUAAUUUCUCUCGCUAUAGGGUCCUGAUGGAUGCUUGCCAACAACCCCCAAUUUUCUAUGGUUGACCUCGGAUCAGGUAGGGAUACCCGCUGAACUUAAGCAUAUCAAUAAGCGGAGGAAAAGAAACCAACAGGGAUUGCCUCAGUAACGGCGAGUGAAGCGGCAACAGCUCAAAUUUGAAAUCUGGCUCUUUCAGGGUCCGAGUUGUAAUUUGUAGAAGAUGCUUCGGGUGUGGCUCCGGUCUAAGUUCCUUGGAACAGGACGUCAUAGAGGGUGAGAAUCCCGUAUGUGACUGGUUGCCUUCGCCCAUGUGAAGCUCUUUCGACGAGUCGAGUUGUUUGGGAAUGCAGCUCAAAAUGGGUGGUAAAUUUCAUCUAAAGCUAAAUAUUGGCCAGAGACCGAUAGCGCACAAGUAGAGUGAUCGAAAGAUGAAAAGCACUUUGGAAAGAGAGUUAAACAGUACGUGAAAUUGUUGAAAGGGAAGCGCUUGCAACCAGACUUGCACGCAGUUGAUCAUCCGGUGUUCUCACCGGUGCACUCUGCUGCGUUCAGGCCAGCAUCGGUUUUGGUGGUUGGAUAAAGGCCUUGGGAAUGUGGCUCCUCUCGGGGAGUGUUAUAGCCCUCGGUGCAAUGCAGCCUACUGGGACCGAGGACCGCGCUUCGGCUAGGAUGCUGGCGUAAUGGUUGUAAGCGACCCGUCUUGAAACACGG